UUNUGAACUGGGUGACUAGAGUGUGUCAGAGGGAGGUAGANUUCCACGUGUAGCAGUGAAAUGCGUAGAGAUGUGGAGGAAUACCGAUGGCGAAGGCAGCCUCCUGGGAUAACACUGACGUUCAUGCUNGAAAGCGUGGGUAGCAAACAGGAUUAGAUACCCUGGUAGUNCACGCCCUAAACGAUGUCAAUUAGCUGUUGGCAACUUGAUUGCUUAGUAGCGUAGCUAACGCGUGAAAUUGACCGCCUGGGGAGUACGGUCGCAAGAUUAAAACUCAAAGGAAUUGACGGGGACCCGCACAAGCGGUGGAUGAUGUGGAUUAAUUCGAUGCAACGCGAAGAACCUUACCUGGUCUUGAUAUGUACGGAAUCCUCCAGAGACGGAGGAGUGCCUUCGGGAGCCGUAACACAGGUGCUGCAUGGCUGUCGUCAGCUCGUGUCGUGAGAUGUUGGGUUAAGUCCCGCAACGAGCGCAACCCUUGUCAUUAGUUGCCAUCAUUUAGUUGGGCACUCUAAUGAGACUGCCGGUGACAAGCCGGAGGAAGGUGGGGAUGACGUCAAGUCCUCAUGGCCCUUAUGACCAGGGCUUCACACGUCAUACAAUGGUCGGUACAGAGGGUAGCCAAGCCGCGAGGCGGAGCCAAUCUCACAAAACCGAUNGUAGUCCGGA
rnacentral:rRNA from 1 species